GAUGAACGCUGGCGGCGUGCCUAAAACAUGCAAGUCGUGCGGCAGCAUGCCCUUCGGGGUGAUGGCGAGCGGCGGACGGCUGAGUAACACGUGGGAAUCUGCCCCGAAGUGAGGGAUAACUGCUCGACAGAGUAGCUAAUACCGCAUAUGGUCUACGGAUUAAAGCUUCGGCGCUUCGGGAGGAGCCCGCGUAAGAUUAGAUAGUUGGUGAGGUAAUGGCUCACCAAGUCGACGAUCUUUAACUGGUUUGAGAGGAUGAUCAGUCAGACUGGAACUGAGACACGGUCCAGACUCCUACGGGAGGCAGCAGUUAGGAAUAUUCCACAAUGGGGGCAACCCUGAUGGAGCAACGCCGCGUGGAGGAUGAAGGCCUUCGGGUUGUAAACUUCUUUUCUAUGCGAAGAAUAUGACGGUAACAUAGGAAUAAGGGUCUGCUAACUACGUGCCAGCAGCCGCAGUAA
rnacentral:rRNA from 1 species